rnacentral:rRNA from 1 species
UACGUAGGGGGCGAGCGUUGUCCGGAAUUAUUGGGCGUAAAGGGCGCGUAGGCGGCCCGGUAAGUCAAAGGUGAAAUCCCUCGGCUCAACUGAGGAACUGCCUUUGAAACUGUCGGGCUUGAGGCCGGGAGGGGGUAGCGGAAUUCCCAGUGUAGCGGUGAAAUGCGUAGAUAUUGGGAGGAACACCGGUGGCGAAGGCGGCUACCUGGACCGGAUCUGACGCUGAUGCGCGAAAGCGUGGGUAGCAAACAGG